rnacentral:rRNA from 1 species
UACAGAGGUCUCAAGCGUUGUUCGGAUUCAUUGGGCGUAAAGGGUGCGUAGGCGGCGCGGUAAGUCGGGUGUGAAAUCUCGGAGCUUAACUCCGAAACUGCAUUCGAUACUGCCGUGCUUGAGGACUGGAGAGGAGACUGGAAUUUACGGUGUAGCGGUGAAAUGCGUAGAUAUCGGGAGGAACACCAGUGGCGAAGGCGGCUGCCUGGGCCAGUUCUGACGCUGAGGCGCGAAAGCGUGGGGAGCAAACAGG